GCUUGCGUGGCCAAGUGGUAAGGCGUCCCACUCGUACUGCUUACGCAAUGGGAAGAUCAGCGGUUCAAUUCCGCUCGUGAGCA